GGUCUUACCCUAAGACGGUACGCUAACCGCAAGGAGGCAGCCGGCCACGGUAAGGUCAGCGACUGGGGUGAAGUCGUAACAAGGUAGCCGUAGGUGAACCUGCAGAAGGAUCA
rnacentral:rRNA from 1 species